AGCUGGAAUAGUUCGUUAGAGUGUGUGGCUCUUAACCACAAGGUCGAAGGUUCAAGCCCUCCUUCUAGCGUACCACACGAACUUGUAACG
rnacentral:tRNA from 1 species